GAUGAACGCUGGCGGCGUGCCUAAUACAUGCAAGUCGAGCGAACGGACGAGAAGCUUGCUUCUCUGAUGUUAGCGGCGGACGGGUGAGUAACACGUGGAUAACCUACCUAUAAGACUGGGAUAACUUCGGGAAACCGGAGCUAAUACCGGAUAAUAUUUUGAACCGCAUGGUUCAAAAGUGAAAGACGGUCUUGCUGUCACUUAUAGAUGGAUCCGCGCUGCAUUAGCUAGUUGGUAAGGUAACGGCUUACCAAGGCAACGAUGCAUAGCCGACCUGAGAGGGUGAACGGCCACACUGGAACUGAGACAGGGUCGAGACUCCUGCGGGAGGCAGCAGUAGGGAAUCUUCCGCAAUAGGCGAAAGCCUGACGGAGCAACGCCGCGUGAGUGAUGAAGGUCUUCGGAUCGUAAAACUCUGUUAUUAGGGAAGAACAUAUGUGUAAGUAACUGUGCUCAUCUUGACGGUACCUAAUCAGAAAGCUACGGCUAACUACGUG
rnacentral:rRNA from 1 species